GGGCUCGAACUCAUGGACAGGGAGAUCAUGACCUGAGCCAAAGUCAGAUGGUCAACCGACUGAGCCCCCCGGGCGCCCCUAAAUGUUUUUUGUUAGAUAACGCUUCAUGCAAAUGACCGUCUCCCCCAAAUGGGCUCCUACUAUAACUUCCACCUACUUUUCCUCAAAAUGUGAAGGUUGUCACUUUUCACUUAGAGUUAAUAACUUUUGGUUUUUUUUUUUUCUUUUGAAUUUCAAAUUGUACCGCAAAUGUAAGUUCCUGAUGAGAUCUGCCCGGGCCUUUAAAGGGAGUGUCUUGAGGGACUCUGCGUCUGCGGGCACGGUGUGGGGUAAGGCUGCUUUCUUCUUGAUGACCGAAUCCGGAACGUCCCCGUCCUUCACCGAGCGGCCUUCGCUGUAGCCAGGUGUAGUGUUCCUGGAGUCCCUGGGGCCCGGUUUCGUUUCCCGGCUGUGACCAGCCGCCCUGGGGAGCAGCCCGGAGACCUCUGAUCUCCCUGAGCCCCGGGAGGGCGUUUCGAGCACCCGGGGGCCACCCUCCCCUCGGUCAGCCUCGCCUCCCACCCCCAGCUCUUGGGAGUGCCACCCGGCUGCCGCGUUCCUGCCUCGAAGCCAUGUGGGGGCGGGGCUGAGGCCACCCAGGGCUUGCGUGGAGCGGCUGUGGCUGCAGAGAAGGUUCUCACUUAUCUGUGCUGAACAUGGGUGGCCGGGAUCCCUUAGGAUCAUGCAGUGUCUCAGUGUCCGGGGGUGGAAGCUCGUUGUCCUCCUCCCAGCUUGUCUUCUCAAGCUGUCUUGUAUGGCUUCCGGCUUUUGCUGACUCACAGAGGCACGCGGGACAACUCGGUCCCUCCCACGCUCCCUCGCCCCCGUUUCGUGGCUCUUGAAAGGACUCCGAAGAGAACCGAUCUCCCUGCUGGGGGGUGGGGUGGGGUGGGGGUGGGGUCACCGCUUGAACCUGACGGAGAGGGCGGUGUUCACCCAGGUCCACCAGGUCUGAAAAACUUCCUCUUCCUCCUUCCCUGCUAACUGGUGUCUUUUCCGUUCCCGUCUCGCCCCUGGGAAGCGCCCUGGGCUGAGCCACAAGCCGACCUGUGGCCGGCGGGUGACUCCGGAUGCCUGCGUCACGUUGGGGCGCUUCUGCACGGACGUGAGUGACAAGGAGGGCGUUUUGGUUUCCCCGACGGAAAGUGGCCAUUUCUGAGGACCGGUCGAUGAAGAAGGCUUCUUCGCCCAUCUCUCUCCCUUGUGCUGAACCGUCACGAAAAGGGACGAAGGACCGGAUUCCUGGCGCGUGGCCCGGGGCGCUUGGUGGAGUCUCUCUCAGCAGCACAGAGUCCCAGAGCGGCCGGCUCGGUGCCUUUUGGACGCCGGAGACCCAGCUUACUCCCGGUGGAAGCUUCGGGUUUGGGAAGCCGCGCUGUAAUUUGGCGAGGUUUGGCAGGCACCCGCGGCCCGGCAAGCCACGGGGACUUGGGCCUGAAAACCUAGACCGUCGGCUCUCCUCCUUAAUGACUCUGGCACCGUGUCAUUAGCGCCUUCUCAGGGGCAGCGGCAGUACCACACUGUAGCGAUCAUUUUUUUUUUUUCUGGCAAUAACGGUCUUAGGCUGUUUUAGCAUACAAUAAGACUUAAUCGAGGCCAAAGUGAACGCGUGUGUAGACAGCUUUCCUAACUUGGUAGGUUGGGUAAACUCCUUGGAAUUACCCGCAUGUGCUAGUUGUGCCCUCGAAAAUGCCGGUUAUAUCGGAUCCCCUACUUUGUGUGGGUCACUUCUUGCCAACGUUAGAGAAGUCAUUUAUUUAAUGGGUAACUCGCACACCUUCCUCAGUGAUAUUUUAGACUAAUAACAACAUACAAAAAUAGUCUCUGGCCUCUAUUUUGUUGUCAUCAGCUCACGAAAAUACUGCCAAAGGGCCGGAAAACAAAAUUUUCUCGUGUUUUACGACACAGCUCCCCAGGGCCCCUCGGCCUCAUUUGUUCUUAGUAAUAUUCAGAAGCGAUUCUGUCCGUGAGCUCUGCAUCAGUGUCCAGGGUUCCGCAUCCGUGAGCUCUGCAUCAGUGUUCAAGCAAGCUGCAGCCUGGUACGCUCCGCCAGGUUCUAGGCGAUGGAAGGUUCUGGAAAGUGGAUCAUUUCCCCCCGCUCUGGGAGACAAUCUACGUUUUAGAUGGUGCAUGUAUUGCAUGUGUGGUGUCUGUGUGUUUGACAUCUACAUAUAUAGCUUGUGGUACAAAAAUUGUGAAAACUUUCAUUUUCCCUAAGGCUUAUGUCCAAGUGCUUGUGCCUUGAAUGCAGAUUAUACUAAACAGAGGCAGUCUGUGUCUGGAAACGCUGGACAUCUCUGCCUGAGUUAGCGCUCUUGUUCCAGGCCUCAGGGGACCAAGACAGAGGGUGUUUUUCUACUUUGCCCUGGAGCCCCUGAGCCUUUGCAGAUUGACAUAGCUGCUUUUCUCUGUGUGCAGGAUCUUGCCUCCAGCCCCCCACAGCUGUGGGGCCGGUGGGGAGGCGGUGGCAGGGCGGGGGAAGGUAGAGAGAAGUGGGAAGGAGAUCUAUGGUUGAACCUCUGCUGUCAAACACGGUGUUGGAUGCCGUACUUGGAUUGCACGGGAUCUAUCGCACAGCCGUGGAGAGUCUCCAAAUGCCGUGAAGUUGGCUUGAACCUGUGAACCUUCUGCCAGCUCUCCGUCUUUUACACUCUCUUAAGAAAUGCUGCUAAAGAUGUAGACCGUAUUUACAGAGUCCUUAGGUGUGGCCGUGAGGAACAUAGCAUUCGGUCUCCAGAACUGAAACUAUAGAAGGGGUUUGAUGACUGUUGCCUUGGUCCCGCCUAACUCACCUACCCGUGCCCAGUUUAUUUUGGACGGGCGUUUUCAGGAACGUUAACGUUUAUGUAAACUGCAGUGGGGUUUUCGACUAAGGAUACAGGGUCCUUAAGGCAAGACAACACUAUUAAUAGCGUGUGGAUGUGUGUGGUUUAUUUUUGUUUUCAAAAUGGAAAUGUCUCUUUGGGGUUUUGGCAUAUGCUCUUGGAUAUGUGGAAAGAUGAGAAAACAUCAUUUGGGAAACUCAGCACUCCUACCAUAUUAGGAAAUUUACAGUGCCUCGGAUUUCACAUUUAAUGUUUUAAUUGCCUGGUUUGGUAGUAGAAAAAUCUCAGACGUUUCUCUUUUCAUUUGAAGCUGCCACCACUUUCCCCCCCACCCCUCUCCAGCAGUGGACUACAGCCAGCUUCUCCUUCCUGCUCCAGCCCCAGCAUAUGGCCCGAGCAGUUGUCCUGAGAACGCAGUUCAUCACAUGGAGAUGUUGACUUCUGACACAGGCCACGGUUUCCUGUGUCGCUUGUAAAUAUCCUAGAGGUGCAACGAAAAUGGAGUUGUAUUUUCGAAACUUUGAAGACCUAUUGGAAUAGAGGGUGCUCCUCCAAACCUUCUGUAAGGUCCAUGAGAGGUGAAAGAGAAUGUUGCCAUCGUGGUCGGGGGACAGCAUCGAAGACACGUGCCUGUACGAUAAGAGACACACAGACGGAGACCACAUGGCAGGGUGGAGAAUGAACAGAAGUUGAAUGGUCCAUGGAGUUGAGGCCUUUUGGAAAAAUCAAGAUCUAAAAUAAAAUGGGCAUUUACUCUUCUUGUAAAUACCUUCUUAUGGAAGAAAUAGUAGUUCAAAGAUUUCUCAAAGUCAUUUCUCGGACAAAACAGGAAGGGAGUAAGCUUAUACGUCUUCAGCGUCACACAUGGUCACAGGUUCAGAAGGGAAAUGCGCUCAUAUCUGGGGAACCGAGGCUUCAUCACCAGGCAGCUGAGAGAGGGGAUUGUGUUCACUUUUCACGGACCACUCGAAAUAGAAUUCCAAUUAAAAUGUAUUUCAUAUUUCAACAGCCCAGUGUAAUUUUUAAUCAUAGAGUAAUCCAUGCUUCGUGUAGAAAAUGUGGGAAAUACAGGAAGACUUCCAGAAGAAAAUAAAAAUAACCUAUAAUUAUGUAAACCAGAGAGAAUCGGGAGACAUUUUUUUAGUGUUUGUUUCUUUGUGCUUAUGUCUCUAUGCGUUUUUUGCAAGUAGGAUCUGCGUAUAAAUAAUUUUUGAGUUCUCAUUUUCUUUCUGUAAUAAUAAAUAUGGUAUUUAAUGGUCGCAUUGUAA